CUACGUGCUGUCACCCUUCCAGGUGGGAGGAGGCUGUGAUGGUCAGUCUACUCUGCCGGCAAACAGAUGUUGGGGUGGGGGCAGGUGAGGUGCUCUGCCCUCUGCUUCAUCCCUGCCUUCUGCCCUUACCCCUAAGAUCCACCAGGAUGGCAUAAGUGAAGAAGGAGAGAGGAAGAGCCUCAGGCUGGGACACUCUGGCUGCUACCAGGCUCCAGCAUGGGGAAUUUUAACCUCCGUGAAGCCUGCUGGACUGCUGUCUCAAGACCAGGUGGUGAUAAAGCUCACAACGGCUGCUGACGGUCUUCCGGCCCCGUGAUGAUGUCUGCUUUGUUCUUGGUCUCUUUCAGGAAUAUUUCAAUCCGUGUUUUGCUACCCCACCCCCAAUCCAGGACACUGCAACCUGUCAUGAAUGAAGAGUGGCUGGUCACAUGGCCCGGUCACCAUGGCGACGGAUCCCCGCAGACGAGAUGAGGACGAGGACGCUCAGAGUCCGUGUGAGAACCUGGGUCAUCCAAUCCUAAAGUCCAUGCUCUUCCCAAGGUGCCCGGCCAUGGAGUGUGGCAGACAGUGUGCUCAAAAGGAGGAGGCAGGAGGGAAGGCUGGUGCUGAGGACAGAGCCGAAGAAAGGGCAGUCUAGAGGAGCAGGGAGAAAUGCAUUUUGUUAUUUUAAUGAACAGGUAACACAUGCACACAGUCAAGAAAAAGAAAUCAAACAAAAUUAAAAUAAGUCCAAUACUAAGUUUCCCUUCUCAGCGUCGUCUAGUGUCCGGUCCGCCUCUGCAGAGGAAGUCACUGUGGCUGGUUUCAGAUAUUCUCCUUCUAGAGAUCUCAUGUGCAUAUAGGAGCAGACAUGGAUGUACUGAAUAUAUAUGGUACAGACAUAUGGCAUGAAAUUCAAAAGGCGGAUGAUGAAAAGUAAAUCUUUCUCCCAUGCCUGCCCCCACUCGUGUAGUUCUUCACCCUAGAGGCAAGCGCUAUUAUGUUUCUUACGUACCAUUCCAGAAGUAUUCAAUGCCUCUAUAAGUACAUGUUUCAUAUACAAAUGGCCAUACCCGCUCUACACUAUUCUGCCUUUUUUUUUUUCACGUAACAAUGUGUCUUGGAGAUGUUUCCAGAUCAGAACCUAUAGGGCAGACCUGUUCACUUUAAUGGUUGCAAAGAAUUUCAUUGCUGGAGGUACCAUAAAUUAUUUAAAUGGUUUCUUGUUGAUAGACAUCUAAUUGUUUCCUUUUUUUUUUAUUACAAACACUGCUACAAGGGGUAUCUUUAAACGAAUCUCUUUAAACAAACACAUGUGCAAAAUGAGUAUGUGACUUCAUAAUCUUGAUAGAUAUGGCCAAAUUGUCAAUGGGUAUGUGCCUUUAUAAUUUUAAUAAAUAUGGCCUAAUUAUCUUCCACAGAGAUUGUAUAAUUUAACUCUUCUCUCAUUAGGAACAUGUGUGUUAUUAACUUUUUGUCAUUUG
rnacentral:lncRNA from 1 species